rnacentral:rRNA from 1 species
GACCUCGGAUCAGGUAGGAAUACCCGCUGAACUUAACAUAUUAA